UACGUAGGGGGCAAGCGUUGUCCGGAAUCAUUGGGCGUAAAGCGCGUGUAGGCGGCCCGGUAAGUCCGCUGUGAAAGUCCAGGGCUCAACCCUGGAAUGCCGGUGGAUACUGUCGGGCUCGAGUCCGGAAGAGGCGAGUGGAAUUCCUGGUGUAGCGGUGAAAUGCGCAGAUAUCAGGAGGAACACCAAUGGCGAAGGCAGCUCGCUGGGACGGUACUGACGCUAAGGCGCGAAAGCGUGGGGAGCAAACAGGG
rnacentral:rRNA from 1 species